GAAUCGCGAUAAGUAAUGUGAAUUGCAGAUUUUCCGUGAAUCAUCGAAUCUUUGAACGCAUCUUGCGCUCCUCGGUAUUCCGAGGAGCAUGCCUGUUUGAGCGUCGUCGAAUUCUCAAAUCCAGGUUUCCCUUGGGUUUGGACUUGGGAGUCUUUGCGGGCUUUUCCCCGAGGGGAGGAGAAGUCGGCUCUCCUGAAAUGCAUUAGCUCGUGGGUUGCGAUCCUCGCAUGGCAUGGCCUCCUCGGCGUCGUAAAGAUCGUCGGGGGCUGGAAGUGCGACCGCGCUGCGAGCUUAUAAUCUCUGUGAGCUUCCUUCGGAAGCCCACUCCCGUGGAAAUCGACCUCAAAUCAGGUAGGACUACCCGCUGAACUUAA
rnacentral:rRNA from 1 species